AAAGGAAUUGACGGGGACUCGCACAAGCGGUGGAGCAUGUGGUUUAAUUCGAUGCAACGCGAAAAACCUUACCAGGCCUUGACAUCCCUCUGACCGAUCUAGAGAUAGGUCUUCCCUUCGGGGCAGAGGUGACAGGUGGUGCAUGGUUGUCGUCAGCUCGUGUCGUGAGAUGUUGGGUUAAGUCCCGCAACGAGCGCAACCCUUAUCAUUAGUUGCUAACAUUCAGUUGAGAACUCUAAUGAGACUGCCAGCGACAAGUUGGAGGAAGGUGGGGAUGACGUCAAAUCAUCAUGCCCCUUAUGGCCUGGGCUACACACGUGCUACAAUGGCUGGUACAAAGAGCAGCAAAACCGUGAGGUCAAGCAAAUCUCAAAAAGCCAGUCUCAGUUCGGAUUGUAGUCUGCAACUCGACUACAUGAAGUUGGAAUCGCUAGUAAUCGUGAAUCAGCAUGUCACGGUGAAUACGUUCUCGAGUCUUGUACACACCGCCCGU
rnacentral:rRNA from 1 species